UUUGCUUGAGCUUCUUGAAGUUGCAGAGGUAUUAUUACCUGUAGCAACGUUAGCGUUUCCAGCGUUCAACCUUAUCCUACGGAAGCUAGAAAUUCGCUCAAAAGCCUUAUUUACCAAAGCACUUUCAGAAGCUGAAGCAGGAGUCGUAGGUAUAGAAUCCACGAAGUCCCAAAGAGCAGAAGAGAACCACGAGUUUGUACCGUCAUCUUGUUCGCCACUUUGAUUUUGAUUUGCUUCGGUAGAAUGAUUGAAAGAAUUACUAUAAUGUACCACACCUAAACAUAUGAAAACUUGGUAAAUCAGAAAACAAUCUUAACAUUAUGUGAUUAGAAGAAGAGCUCUUCAAGCUGGCUCAAACUCCCCCCAUUUCCACUUGGGCACGAGAGUUCUUGCCGUGUGGAUGAUGACAUGGUCUUCCCAUACCAUCCAUCUGAUCAACAGGAGCUCUUCGAUAUUAGUGAAAAGAGAUUUUAAUGUUGUACAAAUAUAUGAGCAAUUAACUGAGAUUACAGAUACAUUCAAGCUGCGCAAAAAUGUCAUCAAUGACAUUUGCAAUUAAUUCAGUACCUGAAGUAGGUGAAGGAAUGACCCUCAGAUUUGCUUCCAUAGCAGAAAAAUGGCUGCAUCCUUGCUCAUGCAUCCACGGCUGACAAAUGACUUCAUUUAAAGGGGACUCGAGCACCUGGUAAUUCACCGAUUCAUUCACAAGAUUGUUGUUUAGACCAGAAUUCAAAUUUGGGUUUAUGAAUUCAUUCUCUAAAUUAUUCAUAUAUGGUCGAGAAAUCUGCUCCCAUUCAGUCUCUUGAAGGAACGUGGCUGCAUCUUGAUAAAGGUCAAGCUCACUCAACCCGUCAAUAAGUAAACAAAUUUUAAUCAGUCAAAAUGGAAACUAAUUAAUUUUUACUAAAAUCGCUCUCUUACUUUUUCAUAAAUCCAAGACAUCCAAACAUAUUCAGAAGUAAAAAAUUAUUUAAGGUACUUUUAAGCUUAGUCAAACAUGCCCACGCCCUUUGUUACACUUUGAUGAUAGAAUCAUGGUCAUUUUCAAUCCACUGUGUAUGACAUGAUGCAUUAAUGGCAUGUUUGGUAAUGUUGCAAUGUAGUUGACAAAAAAUUAGACUGCCACAUCACCUUUUCCAUUAGUCAAUUCAAUCGACAUAACAAAACUUAAGUUCAAUGACCAACUUAAAACAAAAUGAAAUUAACAUGAAAUUUUGCUAAAAAUUUAGUCACCGCCAAUGCAUUUAGGCGAUUGACUGGUCAUUAUUUUGAUACUAAUGAAGUACCAAAUCAAAACUUAGUAUUUACAUAUAAGUAUAGAUAGCUACAUAUCAACCAUUUAUUCUUACAGAUGUUCCAAUCAGCACCCAUAAGAUGGCGCAUAAUACUCCAAGCAAAGAAAAACACAAAAUACUUAUCGGUUUGCUUGAGCUUCUUGAAGUUGCAGAGGUAUUAUUACCUGUAGCAACGUUAGCGUUUCCAGCGUUCAACCUUAUCCUACGGAAGCUAGAAAUUCGCUCAAAAGCCUUAUUUACCAAAGCACUUUCAGAAGCUGAAGCAGGAGUCGUAGGUAUAGAAUCCACGAAGUCCCAAAGAGCAGAAGAGAACCACGAGUUUGUACCGUCAUCUUGUUCGCCACUUUGAUUUUGAUUUGCUUCGGUAGAAUGAUUGAAAGAAUUACUAUAAUGUACCACACCUAAACAUAUGAAAACUUGGUAAAUCAGAAAACAAUCUUAACAUUAUGUGAUUAGAAGAAGAGCUCUUCAAGCUGGCUCAAACUCCCCCCAUUUCCACUUGGGCACGAGAGUUCUUGCCGUGUGGAUGAUGACAUGGUCUUCCCAUACCAUCCAUCUGAUCAACAGGAGCUCUUCGAUAUUAGUGAAAAGAGAUUUUAAUGUUGUACAAAUAUAUGAGCAAUUAACUGAGAUUACAGAUACAUUCAAGCUGCGCAAAAAUGUCAUCAUUGACGUUUGCAAUUAAUUCAGUACC
rnacentral:lncRNA from 1 species